GGCAAAAGCUCAAAUUUGAAAUCUGGUACCUUCGGUGCCCGAGUUGUAAUUUGGAGAGGGCAACUUUGGGGCCGUUCCUUGUCUAUGUUCCUUGGAACAGGACGUCAUAGAGGGUGAGAAUCCCGUGUGGCGAGGAGUGCGGUUCUUUGUAAAGUGCCUUCGAAGAGUCGAGUUGUUUGGGAAUGCAGCUCUAAGUGGGUGGUAAAUUCCAUCUAAAGCUAAAUAUUGGCGAGAGACCGAUAGCGAACAAGUACAGUGAUGGAAAGAUGAAAAGAACUUUGAAAAGAGAGUGAAAAAGUACGUGAAAUUGUUGAAAGGGAAGGGCAUUUGAUCAGACAUGGUGUUUUGUGCCCUCUGCUCCUUGUGGGUAGGGGAAUCUCGCAUUUCACUGGGCCAGCAUCAGUUUUGGUGGCAGGAUAAAUCCAUAGGAAUGUAGCUUGCCUCGGUAAGUAUUAUAGCCUGUGGGAAUACUGCCAGCUGGGACUGAGGACUGCGACGUAAGUCAAGGAUGCUGGCAUAAUGGUUAUAUGCCGCCCGUCUUAAC
rnacentral:rRNA from 1 species